rnacentral:snRNA from 1 species
AGCUUUGCACAGUAGCAGUAUUACAGCCAGCAUGGUUUAUCCCAGGUGCAAUUAUUGCUAAUUGAAAACUUUUAAAGCCACAUAUUUAGUUGUGUUAUGCAUAGAAAGGGGACUUGGAUAACAUUAAAAUAUUGCUAGUAGU